rnacentral:rRNA from 1 species
GGGUUGUGAGGUUAAGCGACUAAGCGUACACGGUGGAUGCCCUGGCAGUCAGAGGCGAUGAAGGGCGUGCUAAUCUGCGAUAAGCGCCGGUAAGGUGAUAUGAACCGUUAUAACCGGCGAUACCCGAAUGGGGAAACCCAGUGUGAUUCGUCACACUAUCAUUAACUGAAUCCAUAGGUUAAUGAGGCGAACCGGGGGAACUGAAACAUCUAAGUACCCCGAGGAAAAGAAAUCAACCGAGAUUCCCCCAGUAGCGGCGAGCGAACGGGGAGGAGCCCAGAGCCUGAAUCAGCAUGUGUGUUAGUGGAAGCGUCUGGAAAGGCGCGCGAUACAGGGUGACAGCCCCGUACACAAAAGCGCAUAUGCUGUGAGCUCGAUGAGUAGGGCGGGACACGUGGUAUCCUGUCUGAAUAUGGGGGGACCAUCCUCCAAGGCUAAAUACUCCUGACUGACCGAUAGUGAACCAGUACCGUGAGGGAAAGGCGAAAAGAACCCCGGCGAGGGGAGUGAAAAAGAACCUGAAACCGUGUACGUACAAGCAGUGGGAGCACCCUUUGGGGUGUGACUGCGUACCUUUUGUAUAAUGGGUCAGCGACUUAUAUUCUGUAGCAAGGUUAACCGCAUAGGGGAGCCGCAGGGAAACCGAGUCUUAACCGGGCGUUAAGUUGCAGGGUAUAGACCCGAAACCCGGUGAUCUAGCCAUGGGCAGGUUGAAGGUUGGGUAACACUAACUGGAGGACCGAACCGACUAAUGUUGAAAAAUUAGCGGAUGACCUGUGGCUGGGGGUGAAAGGCCAAUCAAACCGGGAGAUAGCUGGUUCUCCCCGAAAGCUAUUUAGGUAGCGCCUCGUGAACUCAUCUCCGGGGGUAGAGCACUGUUUCGGCUAGGGGGUCAUCCCG